rnacentral:rRNA from 1 species
CGGUGAAGCAAGCUUGCUUGGUGGAUCAGUGGCGAACGGGUGAGUAACACGUGAGCAACCUGCCCUGGACUCUGGGAUAAGCGCUUGAAACGGCGUCUAAUACUGGAUAUGAGCUCCUAUCGCAUGGUGGGGGUUGGAAAGAUUUUUCGGUCUGGGAUGGGCUCGCGGCCUAUCAGCUUGUUGGUGAGGUAAUGGCUCACCAAGGCGUCGACGGGUAGCCGGCCUGAGAGGGUGACCGGCCACACUGGGACUGAGACACGCCCCAGACUCCUACGGGAGGCAGCAGUGGGGAAUAUUGCACAAUGGGCGGAAGCCUGAUGCAGCAACGCCGCGUGAGGGAUGACGGCCUUCGGGUUGUAAACCUCUUUUAGCAGGGAAGAAGCGAGAGUGACGGUACCUGCAGAAAAAGCGCCGGCUAACUACGUGCCAGCAGCCGCGGUAAUACGUAGGGCGCAAGCGUUAUCCGGAAUUAUUGGGCGUAAAGAGCUCGUAGGCGGUUUGUCGCGUCUGCUGUGAAAUCCCGAGGCUCAACCUCGGGCCUGCAGUGGGUACGGGCAGACUAGAGUGCGGUAGGGGAGAUUGGAAUUCCUGGUGUAGCGGUGGAAUGCGCAGAUAUCAGGAGGAACACCGAUGGCGAAGGCAGAUCUCUGGGCCGUAACUGACGCUGAGGAGCGAAAGGGUGGGGAGCAAACAGGCUUAGAUACCCUGGUAGUCCACCCCGUAAACGUUGGGAACUAGUUGUGGGGACCAUUCCACGGUUUCCGUGACGCAGCUAACGCAUUAAGUUCCCCGCCUGGGGAGUACGGCCGCAAGGCUAAAACUCAAAGGAAUUGACGGGGACCCGCACAAGCGGCGGAGCAUGCGGAUUAAUUCGAUGCAACGCGAAGAACCUUACCAAGGCUUGACAUAUACGAGAACGGGCCAGAAAUGGUCAACUCUUUGGACACUCGUAAACAGGUGGUGCAUGGUUGUCGUCAGCUCGUGUCCUGAGAUGUUGGGGUUAAGUCCCGCAACGAGCGCAACCCUCGUUCUAUGUUGCCAGCACGUAAUGGGGGGGAACUCAUGGGAUAAUUGCCGGGGUCAACUCCGAAGAAGGGGGGGGAGGACGUCCAAAUCAUCAUGCCCCUUAUGUCUUGGGCUUCACGCAUGCUACAAUGGCCGGUACAAAGGGCUGCAAUACCGUGAGGUGGAGCGAAUCCCAAAAAGCCGGUCCCAGUUCGGAUUGAGGUCUGCAACUCGACCUCAUGAAGUCGGAGUCGCUAGUAAUCGCAGAUCAGCAACGCUGCGGUGAAUACGUUCCCGGGUCUUGUACACACCGCCCGUCAAGUCAUGAAAGUCGGUAACACCUGAAGCCGGUGGCCCAACCCUGUGG